rnacentral:rRNA from 1 species
UACGUAGGGUGCGAGCGUUAAUCGGAAUUACUGGGCGUAAAGCGUGCGCAGGCGGUUCGUUGUGUCGGUGGUGAAAUCCCCGGGCUUAACCUGGGAAUGGCCAUGGAAACUGGCGAACUGGAGUGCGGCAGAGGGGGGUGGAAUUCCGCGUGUAGCGGUGAAAUGCGCAGAUAUCAGGAGGAACACCGGUGGCGAAGGCGGGUCUCUGGGCCGAUACUGACGCUGAGGAGCGAAAGCGUGGGGAGCAAACAGG